AACCUUCCGCAAUGGACGAAAGUCUGACGUCGCAACGCCGCGCUAAUGAUAAAUGUCUUCUAAUCGUAAAUCUCUGUUGUUAGGGAAGAACGAGGAUCGUUCGAAUAGGGCGGAAUCUUUACGAUACCUAACCAUAAAGCCACGGCUAACUACAUGCCAGCAGCCGCGGUAAUACGUAGGUGGCAAGCGUUUUCCGGAAUUAUUGGGCGUAAAGCGCGCGCAGGCGGUUUCUUAAGUCUGAUGUGAAAGCCCACGGCUCAACCGUGGAGGGUCAUUGGAAACUGGGAAGCUUGAGUGCAGAAGAGGAGAGUGGAAUUCCAUGUGUAGCGGUGAAAUGCGUAGAGAUAUGGAGGAACCCCAGUGGCGAAGGCGACUCUCUGGUCUGCAACUGACGCUGAGGCGCGAAAGCGUGGGGAGCGAACA
rnacentral:rRNA from 1 species